rnacentral:rRNA from 1 species
AACGAACGCUGGCGGCAUGCCUAACACAUGCAAGUCGAACGAGACCUUCGGGUCUAGUGGCGCACGGGUGCGUCACGCGUGGGAACCUGCCCUUAGGUUCGGAAUAACUCCCCGAAAGGGGUGCUAAUACCGGAUAAUGUCUUCGGCCCAAUGAUUUAUCGCCUUUGGAUGGGCACGCGUUGGAUUAGCUAGUUGGUAGGGUAAAAGCCUACCAAGGCGACGAUCCAUAGCUGGUCUGAGAGGAUGAUCAGCCACACUGGGACUGAGACACGGCCCAGACUCCUACGGGAGGCAGCAGUGGGGAAUAUUGGACAAUGGGCGAAAGCCUGAUCCAGCAAUGCCGCGUGAGUGAUGAAGGCCUUAGGGUUGUAAAGCUCUUUUACCCGGGAUGAUAAUGACAGUACCGGGAGAAUAAGCUCCGGCUAACUCCGUG